rnacentral:rRNA from 1 species
UACGUAGGGUCCGAGCGUUGUCCGGAAUUAUUGGGCGUAAAGGGCUCGUAGGCGGUUCGUCACGUCGGGAGUGAAAACUCGGGGCUUAACCCCGAGCCUGCUUCCGAUACGGGCAGACUAGAGGUAGGCAGGGGAGAGCGGAACUCCUGGUGUAGCGGUGGAAUGCGCAGAUAUCAGGAGGAACACCGGUGGCGAAGGCGGUUCUCUGGGCGUUUACUGACGCUGAGGAGCGAAAGCGUGGGGAGCGAACAGG